rnacentral:rRNA from 1 species
ACUCCUACGGGAGGCAGCAGUAGGGAAUCUUCCACAAUGGGCGCAAGCCUGAUGGAGCAACACCGCGUGAGUGAAGAAGGGUUUCGGCUCGUAAAGCUCUGUUGUUAAAGAAGAACACGUAUGAGAGUAACUGUUCAUACGUUGACGGUAUUUAACCAGAAAGUCACGGCUAACUACGUGCCAGCAGCCGCGGUAAUACGUAGGUGGCAAGCGUUAUCCGGAUUUAUUGGGCGUAAAGAGAGUGCAGGCGGUUUUUCUAAGUCUGAUGUGAAAGCCUUCGGCUUAACCGGAGAAGUGCAUCGGAAACUGGAUAACUUGAGUGCAGAAGAGGUAGUGGAACUCCAUGUGUAGCGGUGGAAUGCGUAGAUAUAUGGAAGAACACCAGUGGCGAAGGCGGCUACCUGGUCUGCAACUGACGCUGAGACUCGAAAGCAUGGGUAGCGAACAGGAUUAGAUACCCC